AUUUAGGGCCACACCUGCAGCGUAUGGAAGCUCCCAGGCUAGGGGUUGAAUCAGAGUUGGAGCUGCUGGGCUAUGCCACAGCCACAACAACGUGAGACCCAAGCUGCAUCGUCAGCCUACACCACAGCUCUCAGUAACGCUGGAUCCUUACCUCACUGAGCAAGGCCAGGGAUCGAACCUGUGUCCUCAUGGAUACUAGUUGGAUUCCUUUCUGCUACGCCACAACGGGAACUCCCAGCCCCCAAAUUCUCUAUCUGUGUUGAGCCUCGUCUUUGCCCCAGUCUGAGAGGCGUGUUUCUUUGCCUUGGCUACUAGAAUUGUGAAUAAGAGAACCCCUGGUUUACCAUUUAUCUGCUGAUUCUUCAUUUGUGCCCUUAAGGAAAUACAGGAGUGCAGGUUCGUGGAUAGGUAUUAGCCUUGUGAAAUCAGAAUCUCCGGAGGCAAGGCCCCGCACUUACGUUUAUGAGCCACUGGCUGAUUUUUACACACACUUCAGUUUCAGAAAAUUAAUAGUCUCCAGAUAACCUGGCUCAGAAUGUCGAGAACAGGGCCUAGAGAUGUUUAUGUAGCACAUUCCCAGGUACUGUCUUAGGUAUUUUGACUGACUGAGAAUUCUUAUGGGCUUAUUCAAACAUUUCGAUGUCUCCUUUGCUAGGAGCCUAGCGGUUGAGAGAGUAGACAAGGCCCUUGCCUUCUGGGAGCUUAGCACCGCCAGCGAGUUAAAUACAAAGAUGAUAAUCCUGGGAGUUCCCAUCAUGACUCAGCGUUAACGAACCCGAUGAGCAUCCAUGAGAACAUGUGUUCAAUCCCUGACCUUGCUCAGUGGGCUAAAGAUCCGCUGGCGGCGUUGCUGUGAGCUGUGAUGUAGGUCACAGACUCGGGUCGGAUCCUGCAUUGCAGUGGCUGUGGUGUAGGCCAGCAGCUCCAGCUCCGAUUGGACCCCUAGCCUGGGAACCUCCAUGUAUGGUGGGUGCAGCCCUAAAAAGACAAACAAAAACAAAAACCAAAGAAGACGAUAAUCCAGAAGGAUGGUGCCAUCAUAAAUAAGCACAAUGAGCACCAUUUGCAGGGCUCGUAGUAAUUGUCUUUUGAGAAGAAAAUAAUAAAGAACUAAAAACCUUCGUAGAAAGUGUCAGCCCACAGAAUGCUGUAUAUGCUUAAGGGCAUUUACAAGGUGACUGCUUCCAAAAUUUCAAGGAAAUUAUGUCCUUGGAAAAAAAGUCCAAGGAUUUUUUGUCUAAGGAACGUCCUCAUCCAUCAGUUCAGAGGUGCCUGGCUAUUUGAAACUGACAUGUAUAAACAGAUAGCGGAUCUAUAAGAACUACAGUGAACGCUGGCAAACCAAAAAAGGAAAGGCAGUUGUUGGCAGAGAGGAAAUAAGGCAACUCCACACAUUGUUUAUGGUUAUGGUAUAGAGUUUGCUUUUGAGUACCUGAAAUUUUAUAGCAGUAAGAUAAAGAUGUUUUCCCUUAGAAUUGAACCAAGUCCGUCUAAGGAAAUGCUUUAGGUAUAAGCCUGUCUCUUACUCUUAAAUACUCAAAUAUUUGUCAUCUCCAGGAACCAGACCUGUAGUUGAGAUUAAGCCUCAGAUUUUCACUCUUCUUUCAUUUGAAUUUCUUUAUACUGCAGUAGUAACAUUUAUUUAACCAUUUGAUAUCCCCACCCAGCUGGAAGGACAUCAGCCUUGUUUUAUUUCAUUUUUGUGAGAUCCUCAGCAACUGUGGUUGAAUUGUCAAAGGGUUUUCAUAAAAGGCUAGAAGAAAAAUUUUGAAAUGUUAACAGUUGCCUUUACAUGAGGAGAAAAUGAAUAAUUGUUUACAUCCUUCGCUUUGGCAUUUUCUAAAUGAUGUGCCAUUACUACAGAUUUCUUUGAAAUUGAUAAAAAAAAAAACUUGAGAACAAAUGCUUUCAUAUCUGAUGUCCGGUUUCACCCUCGGUAUGCCUCAUGAGUCAGUCAGGUGGGGUUAUUCAUAGCCCCAAUUUGGAGGCGAGGAGGCUGAGGAUUAGAGGAGCGAGCUAACUUUGGGGUUGAGCCGCUGCUGUAAUGAUAGAGUUCAGACCACAAUCUAAACCAUUGACUUCUGACCCAGGAUUUUAUAGUUGGACCUCACUAGGCUCCCUGUUGAUACAUGCCUCUAUGUACAACUAAUGAGGCCAGUUCGGGAUGAUAGUCAAAAUAUUUAGCAACCGGUGCAGUAAGAGUACCAGCCAGCCAGGCUUGGAGCUGCCCAGUGAGGACAGACAGAAGCCGAGCAGGCGCCCACCAGCUGGAAGUAGACUGGCCUGCACUUGACGAAACUUCCUGAAUGAUGCUUUAGACAUCUCUCUCUCUCUCUUUUUAAUAACUGCAUGAUUAAAAAUAAUGUGCAUAAGGCUUGGGCACAAUAAGCAGUAACCAUGAGAAACGGCACACAGAGUCUUCCUUGGUCCAGCUCCUUGCAGAUUGCAAGCUUGCCUGAGGCCUGUCUGUCUGGGCCAAGGGGCAUGGCAGUUUCUCAAAUGGAGCAACGCAGUGUGGGUGAGAGGGUCAGGAUAAUUUACUUUGCCAAAACACGAGUUUUGCUUGCAAUUUAUAAUCUAGAGGUUGUCUCCCACUCUCUUCAGUGGGCUGACAGAUCUACGUGAAGGGAAUUUAAUUUAAAAAAUACUGUGUUUCUAACACCUUGAUCUGAGUUAUAAUUCAUGGCUUACCAAAAUUUGUAAGGGGGGCACCCCUUUGGAAGAGGAUCAACUGCAAGAAUUCACAGCUCAUCCUGAAAAUUUUCAAUGAUUUAUUGUCAAAAUCUGAAUGUGCAUGUGUCAUGUACCUUCCCCUCUAUCCCACCCCCCACCAAAAGCCAGAACUGUCAGGGUCCCCUUAUUCUAAUGUCACUGUGUAGGGCCAAAAUAAGGGAGGCAAUUUCAUACCCAUUGGUAAAUGGGUAUGAAAACCGUGGCUCUAAGCUGGCAGGAAACAUUGCCAGUCUCAGUAAUGGAAAUCAUUUCGGACAGUCAAAUAAUUGACUGUAUACAGUGUAAAAAUGCUCCCCAACUAUCUGCAGAUUUCAUCAAAAGACCAAAUGUUUUUCUACUUAAGACCAAGAACAUGGCAGGAAAGGAAAUUAGAGGAAGGAAGCAUCCAUCCCCCUUUCAGCCUCUGUAAUUUCUAUAAAGAUUUGCACUUUGAUUAUGCUUAGUAGCACCAUAUGCUGGAGUGGGACUCAAGAUCAAAGCUUCCAGCCACAGCACUGGAGCCUUGCUGUGGGCAGGAUCAAACAUUUCUGUGGCUAGAAUGCUAAUGGAUCUGUAAGGACACUCCUCCAGCUUCCAUGCAUCCCUAUUUAAUUUCCAAAAUAUAAUUGCUAUACCUCAAACUUAAAUGCUUUUAGCAUCUUUUUCAUUUCUGGUUUCUACGUUGUUGGUUUAAAAAAGAAAAAGUGGUUGUUACCAAUUAAAGAUGUUUAGAACUAAAGAAUCUUCAAAAGCUUAAUGUAAGUCGUCAAGUUUGAUAGUGUGUAUGACUUUAAAAGUUUGGGAAGUGAGGGAAUGGCUGAACACUGCUUUGGUUGAUGAAAUAACAGAUUUUUUUUUUCAUUCUACUUUGCAAUCAAAAUUUUCUUUAGGGAACAUGUGUUUUUGCAGUUAAAAAGUCUUCUGUACAAACAUGCAUGAUACUGGGAGUCUUUGGUGGCCUAAUGGUUAAGGAUUCAACGUUGUCACUGCUGUGGAGCAUUGUCACUGCUGUCGCUUGGGUUCAGUCCCUGGCCCUAGAACUUCUGUGUCGUGGGCGCAAUCAAAAAAUUUAAGAAGAAGACCUAAUACCAUCUUCACUCUUGCUUUCUCCAUUGCCCUGCCAUGUCCUCCUUACCUUGUUACAAGUGGCUUUCCUUAUAAACCUUUUUAAAAAAAACGGAGUCUUGAUCGUGGAAAUAAUUAUGGAUACAGUCAAACAAUUUACUGUAUGCAUUGUAAACACCCCCGACAGCAGUGGCAGGUGUCAUCAGAAAGUCAAGUCAAAUGUUUGUCGUAAACUGCCUAUAUGAUAUGUUUUGGGUGAUUAGAAGAUGGUGGGUCUCUGACCUUGAACCAUGGUAUAGUCUCUUGGAUCAGGUUCUCUCUGAUCUGGUUUGUUUUCUCAUCUAUAAAAAGAACAGAUCAUGCUUGCCCAAUGUAUGAGUUUGGAGAAGUAUAUGUGAAAGUGCUUACAAGCUACAAAAGUGUUAAGACAGUAGAUUGUUGCUAACAUUUUAACUUCAUGUGUGCCUUCUCAGUGAGACUCUGAGGCCUUCCAGGGCAAGACCAAGACCUUUUGUAGAAAAAUUAUUUUAUUGGAGUUCCUGUCAUGGCUCAACGGGUUAAGACUCUGACUAGUAUCCAUGAGGGUUCGGGUUCGAUUCCUGGCCUCAUUCAGUGGGUAGAGGAUCCAGUGUUGCCAUAAGCUGCAUGUGCCAUAAGCAGCUCGGAUCCCAUGUUGCCGUGGCUGUGGGUAGGUCGGCAGUUGCAGCUCUGAUUCGACCCUGAGCCUGGUCGC
rnacentral:lncRNA from 1 species